rnacentral:lncRNA from 1 species
UAGAAGGCAGGGGCAUCCAGACUCCCUAAGGCAUCAUUACCUCCAAUUUAUAGAUGGAGAAAUGGAGGCUCAGACGGUGUGAGCAACUUGCCCGUUUACCCAGCUUGCCCCAGAUGCAAACAGGCCUCCUGCCAGCGCUCCGACCCAGACCUCCUCCAGCUGAGCACGUCUUCCCACGCAGAAGUUUCCAACGUUGGAGCUGAGACAGGGCUGAACAUUGGACAACUGCCCAACAGUGGACACUGCACUCCCGAGAGGUGGAUCCGAAUCCCGAAGGGGGCGGACACCAUGCGGAGAGGCUGCCUCCCGGUGAGUUUGCUGUGAGCCAUAACCCACGCACUCCUACCCGCGCUGACACUCCAAAUGCACCGGCGAUUUCUAACACGGGUCCAGUGUCUUCGGCACCAGCGGCUGGAUGAUACAGGAGGACAUUAUCAGCCACUUCCCGACAUCCACCUCAAUUUCUCACUUCCUGGUUACGUAGUCAAUGGUUUGACAAACUGAAAGGAAUUCACAAAUCUUGGCCUUUCCUGAUUUUGUCAGAAGCCUCUAGAGCUGGACCCCUCCCAACCUGUGACGGUUGGAGAAAGUGUCCAGGGCAUUCCACCAGCCACCGCCAGAAGUUUUUACCAUAACCUUGACGCCGUGCUCAAGAUAAAUAAGAACUGAUUUCACAUGUGUUACCAUUUCUUGAUACUUUAGCUGUUUGGACUCCCCAGGGUCAAUGCCACCUUCAGAUAAAAAUACUUUCUGCUGCACUGAGAACACAUUUUAUUAUAACAUAUGGAAGAUGUAUGAUGCUCUCCAUAUGCAGAUACUUUGUCAUUAGUCAAAUGAAUCAUUUCUGCAGGUGCCUGGGGCCAGCUGACAUCUUUACGAGGAUUAUAUAGUCUCUGUGUCUCAUGCAACUAAAAAUAGCUCUCUAAGUUGAAAAAUUUGAAUAGGCUUACAUUUUUCUGCAUAGGGAAAAAAUAGUGCCUAUUAAAUCUCUUUUGAAUCUGCUUAGUGUGGCUCUUUGCUUUGAAUAUGCUUUUUUGCCGUCAUUGGUCAGUAAGCUGGCCUGGAAAUCUUCCAGUUGGUUUAGGUGACUGAUUUUCUGUGCAAAGUCUGAUUGAUUUCCCAACAAACGGAAGAAAGAAGUCUAUAUUGUCUCUCUAAACAUCCUAAAGCAUCAUUGUUAGAUAAUUGCCUGUUUUUACCCAUCAAUCCUAAAGUGAGAUCCAUUCAAUCUCUCACCUGCUUCUGUUAUGUUCAUAUCCGCAGCCUAAAGAGUUAAAACAGCAUUCUGAGGGCUGGAGAGUAAUGAAAGCUUCUGUAAGCUCAAUCUAUAUCGCCACGAGGCAUGCUUCGGGGCUGUGCGGCUGUGGCACAGCUGGCUCAGACAUCCAGAAGGAGCAUUUUAGGAUGGCAG